rnacentral:rRNA from 1 species
UACGAAGGGUGCAAACGUUGCUCGGAAUUAUUGGGCGUAAAGCGCGCGUAGGCGGCUUGGCAAGUCGGAUGUGAAAUCCCUCGGCUCAACCAAGGAAGUGCAUCCGAAACUGCCGAGCUUGAGUACUUAAGAGGAUCGCGGAAUUCCCGGUGUAGAGGUGAAAUUCGUAGAUAUCGGAAGGAACACCAGUGGCGAAGGCGGCGAUCUGGGAAGAUACUGACGCUGAGGUGCGAAAGCGUGGGGAGCAAACAGG